CCCUCAAACCUCUACUCCUGAUGCCAUAACUCAAGAAAAUUAAUUUCAAAUCAAGCCUCAUGAAUUACAAAUUUGUCAUCUCCUCUAACUUAUAGUUAUGAUACCAUUGCCCAUCAAAAUAUUAUUUCAAAUCAAGGAAAACUGCUUCAUGGCAGAAUACAUUGUCGAUGUAGAAAAGUUGUCUGCAGGGUUUAUGCAAAUUUGAUGCAUUGUAUAUAUAACCUCCGGUUUGCAUGAACAUCAAAAUGAAGUCGGUCUGUCUGAAAAGCUGAGAACUCACCAGGUUCUAGAUGAUAUUGUUACCGAAAAUCCUCUAGAAACUAGGCACAAUAUAUAGGAAAAGCUUUAAAUAAAAGAAUUUGGAAACGCCAAACAUAAAUAUGUAACUGGAGGCGAUGCCCUCACCAUAUAUUUCAAUAAAAAGUAAAAUAGAUCUAUUAUCACAAAAAAGUUGGCCCUCUUUAGAGUCCGUCAAUGAAAUAGUUCUAUUGCCCAAAUAUAUCACCAAAAAUAGCGGUGAUAUAUUUUUAAUUAAUGAUGAUAAUAAUAGAUUGGUAUUUGGUACAUGUGACAUACUGAAGCUCAUUAAAACAUAUAUGGAUGGAACAUUUUAUGUUGUGCCACGACUUUACUAUCAAUUAUAUACCAUUCAUGUCUCAUAUCAUCAUACUAUGAUACCUAUCGCUUAUGCACUCCUUCCUGAUAAGCCACAUGUAUAGAAUUAUUUAGAAAAAAUUCUAAGAUACUGUUCAGAAAAUAAUAUAAUAUUUUAUCCUAGAUACGUGCAGACUGAUUAUGAGGCUGCUGCAAUAUCAGCUCUAAGAUUUGUUUUUCCUACAAUGUUCAUUAAAGGCCUUUUCUUCCACUUUUCCCAAGUCAUAUGGCGGAAAUGUCAGGCUUUAUGGUUAACAAUAGUAUAUAGAGACAAUUCCACUCUUCACAAAGUAAUUCAGACGUAUGACUACUUUGCCCUUUUGCAUUGAGGAAGAUAUCUCCGAAGUUAGGGCAUAGUUUCUUGCCAUGUCACUUGAAAAUCUUUUGCUAAUAAAUUUUAUGCAAUAUGGAUCUGACAUUGCUUUCCAUUAAUGCCUGGGUAUAUUAAAAAAAUAUCAAUUAAUGGUUCCUAGGAUGAAUAAUCAUUUAGAAGGAUAUCAUCAUAGUAUCAAACGAAAAACACUAUGUGCACAUCCGAACAUAUAUUCCUUAAUCAAAAUUUUAAAAAGAUCUCAACAUGCUUCUGAGCCUAAAUUAAUUCAAAUUAAUAGCGGGUUGAAUGUUAAUGGAAAAAAAUCGGAAAUAUA